UACGAAGGGUGCAAGCGUUAAUCGGAAUUACUGGGCGUAAAGGGUGCGUAGGCGGUUAGUUAAGUCGGUUGUGAAAUCCCCGGGCUCAACCUGGGAAUGGCAAUGGAUACUGGCUGGCUAGAGUGUGUCAGAGGAUGGUGGAAUUCCCGGUGUAGCGGUGAAAUGCGUAGAGAUCGGGAGGAACAUCAGUGGCGAAGGCGGCCAUCUGGGACAACACUGACGCUGAAGCACGAAAGCGUGGGGAGCAAACAGG
rnacentral:rRNA from 1 species